CAUGAGUUGGGGGAAUAAUCAGACCCUUAAUAUUGUGCUAUGAAAGACAGUACAUUUCUGCUCUAAAAUCUGAUGAAAUCUACUCUUCCAAGAAAAACCAAAGGUCAUGCAUUUAUAAGGCUGGACAGGAAUUUAAGGGGCCACCUUGGGAAAAAGAACUGAACGUGUGCUGAGCAGCUACCAUGAGCUGGGCUCUUUCACCUGCUUUCUGGGUGAACUCCCAGCCCUCAAGUCUUUGGACUUGGACAAUCUGUACCUGGAAAGAAACACAACCACAGUCCAACCCAUUCUUCAGUUAUAUUCAAGAGGCCAAG
rnacentral:lncRNA from 1 species